rnacentral:misc_RNA from 1 species
CUUAGCCACCAGUCUUCAGUUACUAGGUUCUUCCACUGGGUAGAGACUAGAGAGAGGUUGAAGAAGAGAUGUCGUGCCUGGCCUGCUUCGCCUCAUGCUGUGCAACUAUGACCUGUGGCCUCUGCACAUCAGUGGCCUCGGGUGUAUCCAGGAAAUCCGCAAGACUCGCUUACUGUGGUCUCUUUGGUCUUUCUCUGAUCGUUUCUUGGAUUUUCAGAGAAGUUGCUGCUCCGCUCUUGGAG